rnacentral:lncRNA from 1 species
CUCUUCCUCAUCCCAGCCGUCAGUCCCGGCUCCAACUCCUAUCCUGGCCUCAGCCUCAACUACAGUCUCCAUCCCUAUUCUCGCCUCUGCUUCGAUUCCUAUCCUUGCUUCAGCCCUAGCACCAGCUUCAGUUUCUUCUCCACCCCCAGUGGUCUCAGCUACAGCCGUGCCAUCUAUUUCAACACCAGCUGCCCCAGCCUUGGCCCCAACAGCCUCAGUUCCACUUGCCCCAGCCUCAGCUGCAUCCACUGCCCCAACCCCGGCCUCAACGGUACAGACGCAGACACAGAACCACAAACCAGUCCAGAGUCCACUUCCACCUUCAACACCAUCUUCAAAGCAGCCACCACCUUCGAUUAGAUUACCUUCAGCUCAGACAUCUAAUGGCACAGAUUAUGUAGCCACUGGGAAAUCCAUGCAGACUUCACAGUCACACAGCUCUCUAACAGCUGAGUUAUGGGAUAACAAAGUGACUGCUCCAGCUGUGCUCAAUGACAUUUCUAAAAAAUUAGGUCCUAUUAGUCCACCACAGCCACCUUCAGUCAGUGCAUGGAAUAAGCCCUUAACAUCAUUUGGAUCAGCAACAUCAUCAGAGGGAACAAGAAAUGGUCAAGAGAGUGGUGUUGAAAUUGGAAUUGACACAAUUCAGUUUGGUGCUCCAGCCUCAAAUGGGAAUGAAAAUGAGGUGGUUCCUGUGCUUUCAGAGAAACCAACUGACAAAGUUCCUGAACCUAAAGAGCAGCGUCAGAAACAGCCUCGGGCAGGGCCCAUUAAAGCUCAGAAGCUUCCAGACUUGAGUCUGGUAGAAAACAAAGAACAUAAACCUGGUCCCAUUGGAAAGGAACGAUCAUUAAAAAAUAGAAAA